UCUGAGAGGAUGAUCAGCCACACUGGAACUGAGACACGGUCCAGACUCCUACGGGAGGCAGCAGUGGGGAAUAUUGCACAAUGGGCGCAAGCCUGAUGCAGCCAUGCCGCGUGUGUGAAGAAGGCCUUCGGGUUGUAAAGCACUUUCAGUCGUGAGGAAGGUAGUGUAGUUAAUAGCUGCAUUAUUUGACGUUAGCGACAGAAGAAGCACCGGCUAACUCCGUGCCAGCAGCCGCGGUAAUACGGAGGGUGCGAGCGUUAAUCGGAAUUACUGGGCGUAAAGCGCAUGCAGGUGGUUUGUUAAGUCAGAUGUGAAAGCCCGGGGCUCAACCUCGGAAUAGCAUUUGAAACUGGCAGACUAGAGUACUGUAGAGGGGGGUAGAAUUUCAGGUGUAGCGGUGAAAUGCGUAGAGAUCUGAAGGAAUACCGGUGGCGAAGGCGGCCCCCUGGACAGAUACUGACACUCAGAUGCGAAAGCGUG
rnacentral:rRNA from 1 species